CAAUAGCGUAUAUUUAAGUUGUUGCAGUUAAAAAGCUCGUAGUUGGAUUUCGGUUGAGAACGGCCGGUCCGCCGUUUGGUGUGCACUGGCUGGUUUCAACUUCCUGUAGAGGACGUGCUCUGGCUUCACGGCUGGACGCGGAGUCUACGUGGUUACUUUGAAAAAAUUAGAGUGUUCAAAGCGGGCUUACGCUUGAAUAUUUCAGCAUGGAAUAACACUAUAGGACUCCUGUCCUAUUUCGUCGGUCUCGGGACGGGAGUAAUGAUUAAGAGGAACAGUUGGGGGCAUUCGUAUUUCAUUGUCAGAGGUGAAAUUCUUGGAUUUAUGAAAGACGAACUUCUGCGAAAGCAUUUGCCAAGGAUGUUUUCAUUAA
rnacentral:rRNA from 1 species